UGGGGGAUAUUGCACAAUGGCGAAAGCCUGAUGCAGCGACGCCGCGUGGGGGAUGAAGGCCUUCGGGUUGUAAACUUCUUUUGCUCUGAACAAGGCAUGCUAAUGGGUGUGUUGAGUGUAGGGGUUGAUUAGCGCCGGCUAACUACGUGCCAGCAGCCGCGGUAAUACGUAGGGCGCGAGCGUUGUCCGGAAUUAUUGGGCGUAAAGGGCUUGUAGGUGGCUGGUUGCGUCUGUCGUGAAAGCUCAUGGCUUAACUGUGGGUUUGCGGUGGGUACGGGCUGGCUUGAGUGCAGUAGGGGAGGCUGGAAUUCCUGGUGUAGCGGUGGAAUGCGCAGAUAUCAGGAGGAAUACCGGUGGCGAAGGCGGGUCUCUGGGCUGUUACUGACACUGAGGAGCGAAAGCAUGGGGAGCGAACAGG
rnacentral:rRNA from 1 species